rnacentral:rRNA from 1 species
UACGAAGGGGGCUAGCGUUGCUCGGAAUCACUGGGCGUAAAGGGUGCGUAGGCGGGUUUUAAGUCAGGGGUGAAAUCCUGGAGCUCAACUCCAGAACUGCCUUUGAUACUGGCGAUCUCGAGUCCGGGAGAGGUGAGUGGAACUGCGAGUGUAGAGGUGAAAUUCGUAGAUAUUCGCAAGAACACCAGUGGCGAAGGCGGCUCACUGGCCCGUAACUGACGCUGAGGCACGAAAGCGUGGGGAGCAAACAGG